rnacentral:rRNA from 1 species
AGCGAACGCUGGCGGCAGGCCUAACACAUGCAAGUCGAGCGGCCGUAGCAAUACGGCAGCGGCAGACGGGAGAGUAACACGUGGGAACGCGCCCUUCGGUUCGGGAUAACUCAGGGAAACUUGGGCUAAUACCGGAUACGCCCUUACGGGGAAAGAUUUAUUGCCGAAGGAACGGCCCGCGUCCGAUUAGCUAGUUGGUGAGGUAACGGCUCACCAAGGCGACGAUCGGUAGCUGGUCUGAGAGGAUGACCAGACUCACUGGGACUGAGACACGGCCCAGACUCGUACGGGAGGCAGCAGUGGGGAAUAUUGGACAAUGGGCGCAAGCCUGAUCCAGCCAUGCCGGGUGGGUGAUGAAGGCCCUAGGGCUGUAAAGCCCUUUCAGCGGGGAAGAUAAUGACGGUACCCGCAGAAGAAGCCCCGGCUAACUUCGUGCCAGCCGCCGCAGUAA